rnacentral:rRNA from 1 species
CCUACGGGCGGCAGCAGUGAGGAAUAUUGGUCAAUGGGCUUACGCCUGAACCAGCCAAGUCGCGUGAGGGAAGACUGCCCUAUGGGUUGUAAACCUCUUUUGUCAGGGAGCAACGGCGGCUACGUGUAGCCGGACUGAGAGUACCGGAAGAAAAGGCAUCGGCUACCUCCGGGCCAGCAGCCGCGGUAAGACGGGGGAUGGGAGCGUUCGCCGGAUUUAUUGGUUUUAAGGGGGGCGUAGGCGGAAUGCCAAGGCAGGGUUAAAAUCGCGGGGCUCAACCCCGCUUUGCCGUUGAAACUGGCGUUCUUGAGUGGGCGAGAAGUAUGCGGAAUGCGUGGUGUAGCGGUGAAAUGCAUAGAUAUCACGCAGAACUCCGAUUGCGAAGGCAGCAUACCGGUGCCCAACUGACGCUGAAGCACGAAAGCGUGGGUAUCGAACAGGAUUAGAUACCCGUGUAGUC